rfam:Schistosoma mansoni strain Puerto Rico chromosome 1, complete genome
AUCCAGUUGACGAGUUCCAAAUAGGAUGAAAAGCGCUUCCUAUAU